GUCCUCGUAGCUCAACUGGAUAGAGCGCCUGGCUUCGAACCAGGAGGUUGCGGGUUCAAGUCCUGCCGAGGACG
rnacentral:tRNA from 2 species